CCUGGUGACUUUUGCGGAGUGAUCAGACCCGAUCCCAUCCCGAACUCGGCCGUCAAACACUUCUGCGCCAAUGGUACUAUGUCUUAAGACCUGGGAGAGUAGGUCGUUGCCAGGC
rnacentral:rRNA from 1 species